UGGGGAAUAUUGCACAAUGGGGGAAACCCUGAUGCAGCGACGCCGCGUGAGUGAAGAAGUAUUUCGGUAUGUAAAGCUCUAUCAGCAGGGAAGAAAAUGACGGUACCUGACUAAGAAGCACCGGCUAAAUACGUGCCAGCAGCCGCGGUAAUACGUAUGGUGCAAGCGUUAUCCGGAUUUACUGGGUGUAAAGGGAGCGUAGACGGCUAUGUAAGUCUGAAGUGAAAACCCGGGGCUCAACCCCGGGACUGCUUUGGAAACUAUGUAGCUAGAGUGUCGGAGAGGUAAGCGGAAUUCCUAGUGUAGCGGUGAAAUGCGUAGAUAUUAGGAGGAACACCAGUGGCGAAGGCGGCUUACUGGACGAUUACUGACGUUGAGGCUCGAAAGCGUGGGGAGCAAACAGG
rnacentral:rRNA from 2 species